UGAUUGGAAGGCCGUGAAAUUAAUUGGCCCUUUAGAAAAAGGAGGCAGUGGCAUUUGGUGUACAUUUAUGUUUAAGUGCUUUAGAAAACCUCCAAAGAUA